rnacentral:rRNA from 1 species
GGGGAGGUUUACAUGCAGUCGAGGGGCAUCGGGAGGGAAGCUUGCUUUCCUUGCCGGCGACCGGCGCACGGGUGAGUACCAUGUAUGCAACCUGCCCUCUUCAGGGGGACAACCUUCCGACAGGGAGGCUAAUCCCGCGUAUAUCGGUUUCGGGCAUCCGUUAUCGAGGAAAGAUUCAUCGGAAGAGGAUGGGCAUGCGGCGCAUUAGCUAGACGGCGGGGUAACGGCCCACCGUGGCGACGAUGCGUAGGGGUUCUGAGAGGAAGGUCCCCCACACUGGUACUGAGACACGGACCAGACUCCUACGGGAGGCAGCAGUGAGGAAUAUUGGUCAAUGGGAGAGAUCCUGAACCAGCCAAGCCGCGUGAGGGAAGACGGCCCUAUGGGUUGUAAACCUCUUUUGUCGGAGAACAAAACCCGGGACGUGUCCCGGACUGCGUGUAUCCGAAGAAAAAGCAUCGGCUAACUCCGUGCCAGCAGCCGCGGUAAUACGGAGGAUGCGAGCGUUAUCCGGAUUUAUUGGGUUUAAAGGGUGCGUAGGCGGUCUGUUAAGUCAGCGGUAAAAUUGCGGGGCUCAACCCCGUCGAGCCGUUGAAACUGGCAGACUUGAGUUGGCGAGAAGUACGCGGAAUGCGCGGUGUAGCGGUGAAAUGCAUAGAUAUCGCGCAGAACUCCGAUUGCGAAGGCAGUGUACCGGCGCCAGACUGACGCUGAGGCACGAAAGCGUGGGGAUCGAACAGGAUUGGAUACCCUGGUAGUCCACGCAGUAAACGAUGAAUGCUGGUUGUCCGGGUCCAAUG